UACAGAGGGUGCAAGCGUUAAUCGGAAUUACUGGGCGUAAAGCGUGCGUAGGUGGUUAGCUAAGUCAGAUGUGAAAGCCCCGGGCUUAACCUGGGAAUUGCAUUUGAUACUGGCUAGCUAGAGUUUGGUAGAGGGAAGUGGAAUUCCAGGUGUAGCGGUGAAAUGCGUAGAUAUCAGGAGGAACACCAGUAGCGAAGGCGGCACUCUGGGCCGGUACUGACGCUGAGGAGCGAAAGCGUGGGGAGCGAAUAGG
rnacentral:rRNA from 1 species